rnacentral:rRNA from 1 species
UACGGAGGGUGCAAGCGUUGUCCGGAUUUAUUGGGUUUAAAGGGUGCGUAGGCGGCCCCGUAAGUCAGCGGUGAAACCCCUGGGCUCAACCCAGGGAGUGCCAUUGAUACUGCGGGGCUUGGGUCAUCUCUGGGCGGGCGGAAUGGAUGGUGUAGCGGUGAAAUGCAUAGAUAUCAACCAGAACGCCGAUAGCGAAGGCAGCUCGCUGGGGAUGUACCGACGCUGAGGCACGAUAGCGUGGGGAUCAAACAGG